UGCAAGUCGAACGAUGAUGCCCAGCUUGCUGGGCGGAUUAGUGGCGAACGGGUGAGUAAUACGUGAGUAACCUGCCCUUGACUCUGGGAUAAGCCUGGGAAACUGGGUCUAAUACUGGAUACUACCUCUUACCGCAUGGUGGGUGGUGGAAAGGGUUUUACUGGUUUUGGAUGGGCUCACGGCCUAUCAGCUUGUUGGUGGGGUAAUGGCUCACCAAGGCGACGACGGGUAGCCGGCCUGAGAGGGUGACCGGCCACACUGGGACUGAGACACGGCCCAGACUCCUACGGGAGGCAGCAGUGGGGAAUAUUGCACAAUGGGCGGAAGCCUGAUGCAGCGACGCCGCGUGAGGGAUGACGGCCUUCGGGUUGUAAACCUCUUUCAGUAGGGAAGAAGCGAGAGUGACGGUACCUGCAGAAGAAGCGCCGGCUAACUACGUGCCAGCAGCCGCGGUAAUACGUAGGGCGCAAGCGUUGUCCGGAAUUAUUGGGCGUAAAGAGCUCGUAGGCGGUUUGUCGCGUCUGCUGUGAAAGCCCGGGGCUCAACCCCGGGUCUGCAGUGGGUACGGGCAGACUAAAGUGCAGUAGGGGAGACUGGAAUUCCUGGUGUACGGUGAAAUGCGCAGAUAUCAGGAGGAACACCGAUGGCGAAGGCAGGUCUCUGGGGCUGUACUGACGCUGAGGAGCGAAAGCAUGGGGAGCGAACAGGAUUAAAUACCCUGGUAUCCAUGCCGUAAACGUUGGGCACUAAGUUGUGGGGGACAUUCCCCUUUU
rnacentral:rRNA from 1 species